rnacentral:rRNA from 1 species
CCAGACUCCUACGGGAGGCAGCAGUGAGGAAUAUUGGUCAAUGGGCGAGAGCCUGAACCAGCCAAGUCGCGUGAGGGAAGACGGUCCUAUGGAUUGUAAACCUCUUUUGUCGGGGAGCAAAAAGGCCUCGUGAGGCCACAAGUGAGAGUGCCCGAAGAAAAAGCGUCGGCUAACUCCGUGCCAGCAGCCGCGGUAAUACGGAGGAUGCGAGCGUUAUCCGGAUUUAUUGGGUUUAAAGGGAGCGUAGGCCGGCUUUUAAGUCAGCUGUGAAAGUCCGCGGCUCAACCGUGGAAUUGCAGUUGAAACUGGAGGCCUUGAGUGCACACAGGGAUGCCGGAAUUCAUGGUGUAGCGGUGAAAUGCUUAGAUAUCAUGAAGAACUCCGAUCGCGAAGGCAAGUGUCCGGGGUGCAACUGACGCUGAGGCUCGAAAGUGCGGGUAUCAAACAGGAUUAGAUACCCUCGUAC